GACGAACGCGGCGGCGUGCCUAAUACAUGCAAGUAGAACGCUGAAGGAGGAGCUUGCUUCUCUGGAUGAGUUGCGAACGGGUGAGUAACGCGUAGGUAACCUGCCUGGUAGCGGGGGAUAACUAUUGGAAACGAUAGCUAAUACCGCAUAAGAGUAGAUGUCGCAUGACAUUUGCUUAAAAGGUGCAAUUGCAUCACUACCAGAUGGACCUGCGUUGUAUUAGCUAGUUGGUGAGGUAACGGCUCACCAAGGCAACGAUACAUAGCCGACCUGAGAGGGUGAUCGGCCACACUGGGACUGAGACACGGCCCAGACUCCUACGGGAGGCAGCAGUAGGGAAUCUUCGGCAAUGGACGGAAGUCUGACCGAGCAACGCCGCGUGAGUGAAGAAGGUUUUCGGAUCGUAAAGCUCUGUUGUAAGAGAAGAACGAGUGUGAGAGUGGAAAGUUCACACUGUGACGGU
rnacentral:rRNA from 1 species